rnacentral:rRNA from 1 species
AGAGUUUGAUCCUGGCUCAGGAUGAACGCUGGCGGCGUGCCUAAUACAUGCAAGUCGAGCGAACGGACGAGAAGCUUGCUUCUCUGAUGUUAGCGGCGGACGGGUGAGUAACACGUGGAUAACCUACCUAUAAGACUGGGAUAACUUCGGGAAACCGGAGCUAAUACCGGAUAAUAUUUUGAACCGCAUGGUUCAAAAGUGAAAGACGGUCUUGCUGUCACUUAUAGAUGGAUCCGCGCUGCAUUAGCUAGUUGGUAAGGUAACGGCUUACCAAGGCAACGAUGCAUAGCCGACCUGAGAGGGUGAUCGGCCACACUGGAACUGAGACACGGUCCAGACUCCUACGGGAGGCAGCAGUAGGGAAUCUUCCGCAAUGGGCGAAAGCCUGACGGAGCAACGCCGCGUGAGUGAUGAAGGUCUUCGGAUCGUAAAACUCUGUUAUUAGGGAAGAACAUAUGUGUAAGUAACUGUGCACAUCUUGACGGUACCUAAUCAGAAAGCCACGGCUAACUACGUGCCAGCAGCCGCGGUAAUACGUAGGUGGCAAGCGUUAUCCGGAAUUAUUGGGCGUAAAGCGCGCGUAGGCGGUUUUUUAAGUCUGAUGUGAAAGCCCACGGCUCAACCGUGGAGGGUCAUUGGAAACUGGAAAACUUGAGUGCAGAAGAGGAAAGUGGAAUUCCAUGUGUAGCGGUGAAAUGCGCAGAGAUAUGGAGGAACACCAGUGGCGAAGGCGACUUUCUGGUCUGUAACUGACGCUGAUGUGCGAAAGCGUGGGGAUCAAACAGGAUUAGAUACCCUGGUAGUCCACGCCGUAAACGAUGAGUGCUAAGUGUUAGGGGGUUUCCGCCCCUUAGUGCUGCAGCUAACGCAUUAAGCACUCCGCCUGGGGAGUACGACCGCAAGGUUGAAACUCAAAGGAAUUGACGGGGACCCGCACAAGCGGUGGAGCAUGUGGUUUAAUUCGAAGCAACGCGAAGAACCUUACCAAAUCUUGACAUCCUUUGACAACUCUAGAGAUAGAGCCUUCCCCUUCGGGGGACAAAGUGACAGGUGGUG